UGGAUUAGUGGCGAACGGGUGAGUAACACGUGAGUAACCUGCCCUUAACUCUGGGAUAAGCCUGGGAAACUGGGUCUAAUACCGGAUAGGAGCGCCUACCGCAUGGUGGGUGUUGGAAAGAUUUAUCGGUUUUGGAUGGACUCGCGGCCUAUCAGCUUGUUGGUGAGGUAAUGGCUCACCAAGGCGACGACGGGUAGCCGGCCUGAGAGGGUGACCGGCCACACUGGGACUGAGACACGGCCCAGACUCCUACGGGAGGCAGCAGUGGGGAAUAUUGCACAAUGGGCGCAAGCCUGAUGCAGCGACGCCGCGUGAGGGAUGACGGCCUUCGGGUUGUAAACCUCUUUCAGUAGGGAAGAAGCGAAAGUGACGGUACCUGCAGAAGAAGCACCGGCUAACUACGUGCCAGCAGCCGCGGUAAUACGUAGGGUGCGAGCGUUAUCCGGAAUUAUUGGGCGUAAAGAGCUCGUAGGCGGUUUGUCGCGUCUGUCGUGAAAGUCCGGGGCUUAACCCCGGAUCUGCGGUGGGUACGGGCAGACUAGAGUGCAGUAGGGGAGACUGGAAUUCCUGGUGUAGCGGUGGAAUGCGCAGAUAUCAGGAGGAACACCGAUGGCGAAGGCAGGUCUCUGGGCUGUAACUGACGCUGAGGAGCGAAAGCAUGGGGAGCGAACAGGAUUAGAUACCCUGGUAGUCCAUGCCGUAAACGUUGGGCACUAGGUGUGGGGACCAUUCCACGGUUUCCGCGCCGCAGCUAACGCAUUAAGUGCCCCGCCUGGGGAGUACGGCCGCAAGGCUAAAACUCAAAGGAAUUGACGGGGGCCCGCACAAGCGGCGGAGCAUGCGGAUUAAUUCGAUGCAACGCGAAGAACCUUACCAAGGCUUGACAUGUUCUCGAUCGCCGUAGAGAUACGGUUUCCCCUUUGGGGCGGGUUCACAGGUGGUGCAUGGUUGUCGUCAGCUCGUGUCGUGAGAUGUUGGGUUAAGUCCCGCAACGAGCGCAACCCUCGUUCCAUGUUGCCAGCACGUAAUGGUGGGGACUCAUGGGAGACUGCCGGGGUCAACUCGGAGGAAGGUGAGGACGACGUCAAAUCAUCAUGCCCCUUAUGUCUUGGGCUUCACGCAUGCUACAAUGGCCGGUACAAUGGGUUGCGAUACUGUGAGGUGGAGCUAAUCCCAAAAAGCCGGUCUCAGUUCGGAUUGGGGUCUGCAACUCGACCCCA
rnacentral:rRNA from 1 species